rnacentral:lncRNA from 1 species
GGAAUAUGUCUGACUUUAAGAAGCGGCUGUAGCUGUCGUAUUUCAUGAGAUUGAAUAUCUGAUCCUGCAGCUUCUGAAACAUUAGAGGGUGAGGUGUCUCCAAAAUUGUCUCAUUCAGACGCGACUGUCCUUCAACAUUGACUUGGGAUGAAGCUUUAUUUGACAGGAAAGUCAUGUAUAUUUCUUUAGCUUUUUCUCGCAUCUGUUUUUUUCCCUGUGUUUUCUUAAAUUCUUCACAUGCUAACCAGAACAAAACAUUUUCUUCGCUGAAUUCUUUCUUUAAGAACUCCCUAAAUCGUUUAACUCCUUCUGGAUCUUCAAGGAGGUUCUCCAGUGAUGUAGCCCAUUCUGAGGUUCCUUUCAAGCUCUGGCGGCUGCUGCUUGGGUGACCCUCGCUGUCGUUUAUCUCUGACGGCGGGCGCUUCCUGCUGAGGCGGCUCACGGCGCGGUUGAAC